rnacentral:rRNA from 1 species
CUACGGGAGGCAGCAGUGGGGAAUAUUGGACAAUGGGCGCAAGCCUGAUCCAGCCAUGCCGCGUGAGUGAUGAAGGCCUUAGGGUUGUAAAGCUCUUUUGUCUGGGAAGAUAAUGACUGUACCGGAAGAAUAAGCCCCGGCUAACUUCGUGCCAGCAGCCGCGGUAAUACGAAGGGGGCUAGCGUUGUUCGGAAUCACUGGGCGUAAAGCGCACGUAGGCGGAUUGUUAAGUCAGAGGUGAAAUCCCGGAGCUCAACUUCGGAACUGCCUUUGAUACUGGCAAUCUCGAGUCUGGAAGAGGUUGGUGGAACUGCGAGUGUAGAGGUGAAAUUCGUAGAUAUUCGCAAGAACACCAGUGGCGAAGGCGGCCAACUGGUCCAGUACUGACGCUGAGGUGCGAAAGCGUGGGGAGCAAACAGGAUUAGAUACCCGAGUAGUCC